GGCGGAGGGAGAAGCAGGCUCCCUGCAGGGAGCCCGAUGUGGGGCUCGACCCCAGGACCCUGGGAUCACGACCUGAGCCAAAGGCAGAGGCUCAACCACUGAGCCACCCAGGCGCCCCUCUGAUUUGCUUUCUUCUGGCAUGGUGCGUGUGAGCACACAUCCGUGGACUUGCUGGUGCACUCACCUUCAAAGGUGAAGCGUUUGAGAGGAGAGGGGAGAGGGCUGCGUGUGCAGGUGGGGCCCUGGGAGGCAGCACACACGCAGGGAGCAGGCCAAGGGCUGAUGAAUCCUGGACGAGGUCAACAGCAGAAGGCGGGGACUUCAGGCAGCGAUGGGCUGGACCCGGGGACGGCAGCAGACCUUGGCCCGGGCUCUGCAGUAUUUUUAUUGAGAAUUGUCAGGGGAAGCUCCUCCAAAAGGGUGUGGACAGAGUCAGCGGCAACUGGCAGAUACCACAGGGCUUUUCGGGCAAGAGGACUGUGGACGGUGCAGAGUGACAGUGGUCCCUGCUCUCGAGUACCUACUGUGUGCCAGGCCCUCUGCUGGGCUCAUCUCACGUGAUCGCCCCAGCCUGGAGGCGGGUUCCCUCUCAUUUCAUGGAGGGCUCUCACGAGGCCGGGGAAGCUCAUGACCUGGCUCCAGCCCAGCAACCAGGAAUCCGGACCAGGUCUGCUGGCUUCAGGUCGGGGCCCUUUCCACGGCGCUGCGCGGCUCUCCCGUGUGCGACCGUGUCCAGCUCAGUGCUUUGCACACAGUAGGUGCUCAGGAAACACUGGCAUGAAACUUCCUUCCCUCCUUGAUGUCUCUCUCUUCUCUACCCUGUGGGUGUGCUCAGUUCUGGUGCAUUGACUGAGGCUUCCCCUGUGCCCUGCUCUGUGGGCUCCUGCCCCCCAGGCUCUGGCUGUGGGGUAAGUUCUUGCUAACAGAACUUAAGAGGGGAAGUGACACCCGUCCUAGCUUCGUGGUUAAAAAUGAGCAUGCAGGGAGGGGGAGGGGGGUUGUUGUUCAGUGCCUGAGUGUCAGUUGUGCAAGAUGAGAAAGUUCUCGAGAUCCGUUGCACAACAAUGUACACGUAGCUACUUCUGUUGUCCUGUACGCUUAAACGUGGUUACGAUGGUCAAUUUUCUGCUGUGUAUUUUUUUUUUUCAACCAUAAUAAAAACAACACCCAAAAGCCGGACAUGCCAUGUCUAAAGAGAGGGCUCCAAGGGCUGUGGGGAGAGUGGGGCCGCAGGCGGGACGGAGCCGGGGGCCCCGAGUGAACCUGUGGAAUGCUGUCUGGCCAGGAGCAUCCACCACAGGGGUGACGCUGUGUGCUGGAAAUGAGGGUGGCCCUUUUCAUGAAGAUGGGGAGCCCAGGAAGGAACAAGAGGAUGUAGGAGGAGACAGUGCCGGGGUUUGUCGGUCCCAAGGUAGAAGAAUGUCCUGCCCAGGCCUGGAGGCCGAGUCCUGAGGAUCAGGGCCAGGCUCUGCCCUUCUUCUCCUUGGUGGGGCCUGCAGCCUGUCCUCGCCAGCGCCCCCCCACCUCCUUGUGGCAGCCCUGUCCCCAUGCCUCCCGCCCCACAGGUGCCUGCUGGAAGCUUCCAGGAGCUGCUGACGGUUUGUGGCGGGGGUGACUGCAGAGCCUGCACGCGUAUGGCCGUGGGGUGAAGAACACGCUGCCGCAGACACGCCCUCAGGGAACAUCCACGCGUGGUGUGUCACCUUUAAAAAAAAUCUACAGAAUUUGCCUCACUUUACUGCAUUUACAAGAAAUCUACCUUGCAAAUAAGUUUCAAAAAUAACCUCUCGCAGCUCUGCAUCGUGCUCUGCGUCGUGCUCACCAUCUGCAGGGACAGGGUGUGGAUGUGUACGCGUGGCCUGCAGGUUCCAGCCCGGGACAGGCUUAGGUCCCGGUGGGAGGGAGGAGGCAUGGCUCGGAGGGCCUCCCGGCCAGCAUCGCACCCCAUUGUACCUGGGGCGUUGGCCUGGAGGGACAAAUGCUGGGAAAGACACACAGAAGAUUUUAGGGGAUGAUGGAGGAGACAGCACAGGCGCCUUCAGGCAGAGCGAGCCCUCAGAGGCGGACACUCCCCCUGCUAGGGUCCCCACACGGUCACCUGAGCCCCUGGCCCGGGCUCUCUUCUGUGGUAUAAAUGGGGCUUUGGGGAGAAGCAUCUGUGAAGGCUCCGGCCGGGGGGCUUUUCCAGCUCCCUGUCUACCCUCUGACUGGGGUAACAGCCUCCACCGUAUCCCAGCCCGCAUCCUAAAAUCUGACAUUGCACCAGCUUCUCCACUGUUCUCUGCCUGCAUCCCAUGAGGAUGCUGAUGCCAGCCCGGAAGGUUCUCCAUUCCAUCCUCCUUCCCUCUAGCAGCUUGCCGCUGGGCUAUGGAAAUCUCUGUCCCUCCACACUGUCCCCAGGGGGAUGGUCCUGAAACCCGUCUGCAUGCCUGGCCGGCUUACUGAUGCUUAAAAAUCUUCAUGGAGGGCAGCCCGGGUGACUCAGCGGUUUAGCGCUGUCUUCUGCCCGGGGUGUGAUCCUGGAGACCCGGGAUAGAGUCCCACGUCGGGCUCCCUGCAUGGAGCCUGCUUCU